GAAAUAUAUUUUAAUUAAGCUGCUAACUUAAUCUUUAGUGAUUUAAUUCAUUAAUAUUUCU
rnacentral:tRNA from 1 species